rnacentral:misc_RNA from 1 species
GGUUCCAUUUGUGGCCUCGCGCGAGCGCGUUGUUGCGGCGGUGGCCUAUCGUCACGACACAUUUGCGGGUUUGUAUGCCCGCUUUUUUUUUUAAAGGGAACUCGCUCGGGAUAUUACCUUUUCCAGGAAUUCUUCUGUUGAAGAUUUCGAGGAUAAUCGUCUGACGCUGACAGCAGACGCAACGGUUGCUGCCGGGUUUCAGAGGAAGACUUAUCAAGCGAUCCCCCCCUGAGGUGGCAGCUUGGUACUGCACGAAGUCUCAACCAAUGCGCAUUUAUUUCCAGUCACUUUGAAGCUGCAGUCAUGCCUGAAAGUACUGUGCUUCAGUGCUGGGUGCUUCUUGGAGGCUGACAGUUGCUUCAUUCUGCUGCACCUGUACUGUCUACUGGAGCUACUUCAACGACGUCUGUUGGGGUGCACCUGUAUUUUUUAUAUUGCUGUCCCUUUAACACUACGAAGGUGAGCUGAACACGCAAAAUUUUUAUG